ensembl:lncRNA
CAUUAGUCGACUUUUAGCUCAAUACAUUAGUUUUGCCUGUUUUUGAAUUUUAUACAAAUGGAAUCAGCGGGAGACAUUCUUUCGUCGUAUCUAGCCUUUUUUCACUCAACACUAUAUUUGUGUAAUUCAUUCACCACGUUUUGGUUUUGUUUGUUUGUUUUUAUUUUGGCGGCAACACGCAGCUUGUGGGAUCUCAGUUCCCCAACCAGGGAAUGAACCUGGGCCACGGCCGUGAAAACCCGGAAUCCUAACCACUGGACCACCAGGGAACUCCCCAGCACAUUGUUUCUUCAUUCGUCUUGCAGUAUAAUGUUCUACUGUGUGACCACACCACUGUUGACAGUCAUGAGCUGGGUCGAAGAGGAUCUUGCUGUGAUUUGUGUCGUAGAGCACAGUAUUUCUUAUAGUCUGCAGACCAGAAUCAUUAUGAGCAUCAGCUAGGACGUUGUUUAAGAAAAGGCAGAUUCCAGAUUCCCAUCCCUGAAUCAGAAUCUCUUAGGUGGGCCUAGAAAUUUGCAUUUUAACAAGCACACAGGUGGUUCUUCGGCACCAACUCCAUGAUCUGUAUUGCAUUCUCCACCUUAGAGGGUCUCUAUGCUUUCAGGGGAGGAGCUUCUACAUGGAAAGAUCCUGGCCUCAAGUGGAACUGCUGGCUUUUGCUUUUUCCCGGAACAUCACUGGCUGAAUUAAACUGUGCACACAAUUUUGCCUCUGUUGGCGAUAGUGCCGUCUCAGUUGCCCCUCUUGUUUGAGGCAGCCCUCUGUGGCCUUCUACAUGUCACUCUGAAUGCUCUUUGAAAACCUCCUUUGUCCUCAUCUGCCGUCCACUUCAGAAGUGGUGGUGUUAUUUUGAGGCAGGGUUUGGGAUGCCACAUAAAAUAAAGCUAUGAUUGUAUUAAAAACCAGAAGAGGAUAAGCAGCUAACACAAACAUGAAUAAGGCCUAGACACAUGCUGUACCAGGAGAGAGAAAGAAAGAAUGCUUCGUUGUGACUCUGCUUUGUUUUUAAGGUCUGGGUCUCAUGCAAAGCCCUGAUAGACUCGCUAUGAGGUUUUGGGAUUCUGGCUUGGCAUACUUACUGAAUUCUGGGGCCCAAGGCCCUGUCUUCUGAAAGGUUCCAGCCUAAGUGCCUAAGGUUCCUUGUGGACAGGAAUGGGGGGUUGGGAGGUGGGGGAAGGGCCCAUGCUGUGUUCCUGGGUUCUGGUGGCAUCUCCCCGUACCCCAUACACACACAUCCGGUGCAUUUUCCUCAGAGAUGAGCCCUAGAAACCCAAGCUUCCCUCCAUACCUUCCAAUAAACACUACAACAUUUUGCUCUGAUACAGAAACUUCAUGUUUCCUCCUCACCACCGUGGUGCUUUGAAAACUUUUAGUAAAAGCACAGUCACAUAGUCUGGGACACUUGCUCUGUUUCAGUGACAAGUUCCCACCACAAGGAACACUGAAAUACAACAGGAAAUAGUGAAUAUGAAUAGGCAGUCCUGGGCUAAAUUUGACUGGUGGAAACUUUAUCCUAAAAUGUUUUCCAUAGAAAUUCACUUUCUUUAGUUUUGAUGACUACCCACUGGAUCAUUGUGGCCACAUGCCAUUGACCAACGAGGAAACUGGAAAAUAAACUUUCAUAUGGCCUUUCAGGAACUCUGUUUUGUUUUUGUUUUUUAAACGGUGGGAGCAUAGAAAAAUGAUACUCUGACCCAAAAUGAGCAAAUAGAGGAGUUUGGAGAGAGCAUGUUUAUUUAUGAAAACUUUAUGAUUAUCAUUUCAUAAGAAUAGUAGAGAAAGCAUGAGAGACAGGGAAAGGAAGGGAAUUAACAUUCAGGGAGCAUCUAUUCCAUGGCAGCAUUUGGCUGGGAAUAUUACAUACCGAAGGCUGUUUCGUUCUCACAACCACCAAGUAAGGUAAAUAUUAUUACCUGCUCUCUGUCCUUCUUUUUGGGUCAGGAAGCAGGUUCAUUUAGGUAACUUGCUAAUCACCCACUUAUAUUUAGCAAUCAGGAAUUCAGAUGUGGCUCUCUUUUCACUCUUCCCUGGCAUCUUGAGGAGAAAGCUGUGUGGAGUCUUAAUAAAAUGAGAUCUCAGUUGUGGGAAGGUGGCCUGGCUAUUAAAAUAAACAACAUCAUUCAAUAAAAAAAUACCUAUGUUAUACAUCUAUAGAACACUCAUUUCUAGUUAUAUUCAUGCUAUUUGUUUUAAUCAGAAGAACAGAUAAUAGGGUCUGUUGUAGUUGUAAGCAGCCCUUGAAUAUAAAAGUAUUAAUUUUACUCAACUCCAAGAGGACCGGACACUGGCAUUCCUGUGAGGUAGAUGCAGCAUUUAAAAAAUUGUUCCCAGUGUCCUCUGAGUUCUAUUUUCCCCAACCAGGGCAGA